GACGAACGCUGGCGGCGUGCCUAAUACAUGCAAGUUGAGCGAUGAAGCUUGGUGCUUGCACCAAUUUGAAGAGCAGCGAACGGGUGAGUAACGCGUGGGGAAUCUGCCUUUGAGCGGGGGACAACAUUUGGAAACGAAUGCUAAUACCGCAUAACAACUUAAAACAUAAGUUUUAAGUUUGAAAGAUGCAAUUGCAUCACUCAAAGAUGAUCCCGCGUUGUAUUAGCUAGUUGGUGAGGUAAAGGCUCACCAAGGCGAUGAUACAUAGCCGACCUGAGAGGGUGAUCGGCCACAUUGGGACUGAGACACGGCCCAAACUCCUACGGGAGGCAGCAGUAGGGAAUCUUCGGCAAUGGACGAAAGUCUGACCGAGCAACGCCGCGGGAGUGAAGAAGGUUUUCGGAUCGUAAAACUCUGUUGGUAGAGAAGAACGUUGGUGAGAGUGGAAAGCUCAUCAAGUGACGGUAACUACCCAGAAAGGGACGGCUAACUACGUG
rnacentral:rRNA from 1 species